GCCUCUGUGGUGUAGUGGUAGAGCACGCGUCCCCAAACAGGAUGAAACACGGGUUCGAUUCCUGUCUGGAGCU